CACCACCACCACUAGUACCAGUCUACUCACCACCACCGUCACCGGUCUACUCACCACCACCAUCACCAAUCUACUCACCACCACCAGUUUACUCACCACCUCCACUAGUCUACUCACCACCACCAGUCUACUCACCACCUCCCCCAAAAUACUCAUCACCUCCACCACCAGUUCACACCUACCCUCAUCCACACCCAGUUUACCAUUCUCCACCACCCCCUGCUCACAAGUAUCCUCACCCUCACCCUGUUUACCACUCUCCACCACCACCAGUUCACAAGUACCCUCAUCCUCACCCUAUUUACCACUCUCCACCACCACCCGUUCACAAGUACCCUCAUCCUCACCCUAUUUACCACUCUCCACCACCACCCGUUCACAAGUACCCUCAUCCUCACCCUGUUUACCACUCUCCACCACCACCAGUUCACAAGUACCCUCAUCCUCACCCUGUUUACCACUCUCCACCACCACCAGUUCACAAGUACCCUCAUCCUCACCCUGUUUACCACUCUCCACCACCACCCGUUCACAAGUACCCUCAUCCUCACCCUAUUUACCACUCUCCACCACCACCGGUCCACAAGUACCCUCAUCCUCAUCCUAUUUACCAUUCUCCCCCACCACCAGUGCACACCUACCCCCCUCACAUUCCUCACCCAGUUUACCAUUCUCCUCCACCACCAUACAAGAAGCCUUAUAAGUACCACUCUCCUCCUCCAGUCCAUUCCCCACCUCCACCACACUAUUAUUAUAAAUCACCUCCUCCACCUUACCAUUACUAGAUAGCUGAUACUUGGCAUCACACUAUAUGGUAAGUUUUCAUGCAACAUGUAUAUUAUUAUAUAAGUACCAAACUUCCCUUCUCUAAUCAACUCACAUUCUCUCUUUAACUUAUUAUCAGUAUGAUUUUCGAGUAUAUACAAUCCUAAUUUAAAAUGAAGCUCCAUUGUGUGUAAUGAAACAUUAUUUUGCUGUUUAAUAUUUUAGUCUCCAUUUCUUGUAAAUUAAGUAAUCUUUUUCAUAGCAUUUGGUUAAGGGAUUAUAGUAUCAGACAUAAACUGAUAGAUCAAUAUAUAUUUGUUUUUUGUGUAGGAUCUAAACAGAAAGUGUGAAAGCAAAGAAAGCCGUGGACGUUGCAAAAAGAAGAUUGAGGGGAUUCUUCUCACAUAUAUUUCGUCAGUGUUUGAUUAAUAUUGUUAAGAGAGCUGCGUUUAUUUAUUUAAUUUUUGUUUUUUGUUGUAUUAGCACAGCUAUAAGGCACUGCCCCAGCAUCCACGUGUCUGCAGUGGCGUGCAUGCGUUGUAAUUUUCAAAGUUUGGUUUAUCAAGUUGACUGACAAACCAAAUAAAUAUAUUCCCCUGUUCUAGUAAUCUGUCCCUUGCACCUAUGGCUCCUUUUCUAUUCUUUUAGUGAUAAUAAUACUAAUACUAAUAAUAAUAAUAAUAAUAAUAAUAAUAAUAAUAAUAAUAAU
rnacentral:lncRNA from 1 species